GGGGUUGUGGCUCAGUGGUUGAGCACUCGCCUAGCACGUGAGAGGCCCAGGGUUCAAUUCUCAGCACCAUUU
rfam:Ictidomys tridecemlineatus contig023742, whole genome shotgun sequence.